CGGGCGACCGGCAAACGGGUGCGGAACACGUACACAACCUUCCUUUAAAUGGGGAAUAGCCCAGGGAAACUUGGAUUAAUACCCCGUAACAUUAUGAAGUGGCAUCACUUUAUAAUUAUAGCUACGGCGUUUAAAGAUGGGUGUGCGGCUGAUUAGGUAGUUGGCGGGGUAACGGCCCACCAAGCCUUCGAUCAGUAACUGGUGUGAGAGCACGACCAGUCACACGGGCACUGAGACACGGGCCCG
rnacentral:rRNA from 1 species